rnacentral:rRNA from 1 species
CACGUAGGGGGCAAGCGUUGUCCGGAUUUAUUGGGCGUAAAGAGCUCGUAGGCGGCUUAGUAAGUCGGGUGUGAAACCUCCAGGCUCAACCUGGAGACGCCACCCGAUACUGCUGUGGCUAGAGUCCGGUAGGGGAGCGUGGAAUUCCUGGUGUAGCGGUGAAAUGCGCAGAUAUCAGGAGGAACACCAGCGGCGAAGGCGGCGCCCCUGGCCCGACACUGACGCUCAGACACGACAGCAUGGGGAGCGAACGGG